rnacentral:rRNA from 1 species
UUGAAAGGGAAACGAUUGAAGUCAGUCAUACCAACGGGAAAUCAACCUUUUGAGUUUGGUCUCGUGGGUUUUGAAGAGUUUCAAAGCCUUCGGAUUCGCGGGAUUGGGAUCUCUUGGUGUACUUUUUCGUACGGUUAGUCAACAUCGGUUUUGAAUGUCAUAAAAUGACUGGAGGAAUGUAGCUUCGAUCUCAUAUUGAAGUGUUAUAGCCUUUGGUAGAUGUGAUGUUUGAGACCGAGGAUUGCAACGGAUACCCUUUAGGGCUAUUCGUCUGAUCUCUGAUACGUUGCCUUGAUGUUGAAAGCUUGCUUAUGAUGUUAGGGUAUUACCGGUCAAAAGGUUAGAACGGAUUAGAUUCGUUAAGGAUGUUGACGUA